rnacentral:rRNA from 1 species
GGGCUGCAGUAGGGAAUAUUGGACAAUGGGCGAAAGCCUGAUCCAGCAACGCCGCGUGCGCGAUGACGGCCUUCGGGUUGUAAAGCGCUUUUAGAGGAGAUGAGAAAGGACAGUAUCCUCUGAAUAAGCCUCGGCGAACUACGUGCCAGCAGCCGCGGUAAAACGUAGGAGGCUAGCGUUAUCCGGAUUUAUUGGGCGUAAAGCGCGUGCAGGCGGUCUGGUAAGUUGGAUGUGAAAGCUCCUGGCUUAACUGGGAGAGGUCGUUCAAUACUGUCAGACUAGAGAAUGGGAGAGGGAGGUGGAAUUCCGGGUGUAGUGGUGAAAUGCGUAGAUAUCCGGAGGAACACCAGUGGCGAAAGCGGCCUCCUGGACCACUUCUGACGCUAAGACGCGAAAGCUAGGGUAGCAAACGGGAUUAGAUACCCUUGUAGUC